UACGUAGGGUGCGAGCGUUAUCCGGAAUUAUUGGGCGUAAAGAGCUCGUAGGCGGUUUGUCACGUCUGUCGUGAAAGUCCGGGGCUUAACCCCCGGAUCUGCGGUGGGUACGGGCAGACUAGAGUGCAGUAGGGGAGGACUGGAAUUCCUGGUGUAGCGGUGGAAUGCGCAGAUAUCAGGAGGAACACCGAUGGCGAAGGCAGGUCUCUGGGCUGUAACUGACGCUGAGGAGCGAAAGCAUGGGGAGCGAACAGGAUUAGAUACCCCGGUAGU
rnacentral:rRNA from 1 species